GUUGCUACUAACUGGAACAAAUGCUUCAUGAUGCCUAAAAGGCCAUUUCUGAAGCUGCAGUUUUCACAGCACCUACCCGUACCUGUCAUUCCCAUAGUAAAACUGCAGUGGUGGGAGAAUGCAUAACCACAAGUCAGCACAAACACUUCCAAGAAUGUACUUAAAAUACAGAAGACUGGAGCUUAUGACUUCAUCUGUGCUCCUUACUAGACCCAAUUCCCUGAAGUACAACAAGGAACAGCAGCAGAAAAAUCGACCACUUGGAAUGGAUCUUUUAAAAAAUUCUACAAUAUAAGAGGCCCUGCAUACCCCACUGAAGUGGCCCGUGUCACAGCUGGGAAACAUGUAAAGUCAGCUUGACUCCAACGCAAUAAAUCCAGCUGAUAUGUUCAAAGCAAGAAUGAAGUAAUCUUUAAAAAUGCAGGAAGUUUUCUAAAUACCUUAAGAAAGCAGCAUUUAAAGAGAAGUACAUUCUUACCAGUUAAUACAUAUAGAGGAAAUGGUGCAGUGUUGCGGCCAACAGAAAACUUUUGUUUCAAUACAUCUAGGUAUGUCAUAUUUAAACUGGAAAUAUGUUAGAGUUAUGGUAAAAUAAGUUGUCUAGUGAUUCAGCAGCUUACUGAAAAAUAUCUACCAAGAGCAAAACCUCGCCUUUAUAGAUCUCAAGGCUCUAUCUCAUGAGUUAAGAUAUGGGAGAAGCUGGAAGCUCCUUGAUUGACUGAUGCCUGCUCUACCUGAUCUGCAUCUUGCACACAGAUACGUCCCUCAAGGUAAAGUGCACACCGCAAGGCCACCUUUCGAGCUCAUUUCCAACCCACAAAGCUACUAAUAUUUUGAGUUUAUUUAUAUAUGUAACAGUUAUCUGUGUUUCUCAACCUUGUUAUUAGUUUCUUUUUAUGUAAUUUAAUAUAAUUCUUCCUUUAAUCUAAUGAAAAAAACAUUGAUAAAGUUAUGAAAAGUAGUAGAUUUGCACUCUAAUUCAAGGAUUUGAAAGUUUUUGUAAUGUGAAGACAUUCUAAGGUUAGCAAUUGACCAUCUCUCAUUAUUUAUCAUUUUAAAGUAAAGUAUUUAUUUUAAAGUAAAGAUGUGUUUUAACCAUACCUUAUAAACUGUACUGCCUCCAACUAUCCAAACCAUGUCAGUUUUACUUUCUAGCUCUGACGAUUCUAGAAGCUUUAGUGCCUCAGCUAAGCUUCUGGCCAGGAAAUGGGCUCCUUUGGGAGCUUCCCUAGAAGAAAUGAAUGUUACUGCUUAAUAUCCAAGUCCGUACCUUUGAACAUGUCAUGAUGAACUGAGCUAGACCAGAGACAGUCUAGGGAUAUUGCUUCAGUUUUAGUAAUUAGCAGUACAUGCUCAUGCACACACAUACAUACACAAAUUGCAACAGCAGCCUAUAUGACUAUUCCCACCACAUUUGCUCAGAUAUGAUUCUCAAUACAGCUUCUCUUUAGUUACAAGAUCACUGGUCUUGCAAACAGCCAUUUCUAAAAAUAUAUGCAUAUUUCUUAUAUGUGUUAUAGAAAAUCUAAGAUGGAAAAGCGAAAUCCAAGAUGAAAAUCCAAAAGUUUUACUCCCUGUCUGUGGUAUUUGGGAAAGAUGCUAUGCGUGCAAAACAAUAAACAAUAGCCUCUCUCUGGCUUGAAGGUUGGACAUGCACAGUAGCUAUAGAAAUGUAUCUAGCCUAGAGUACCGUGAUUGUUCACUGCUGGUCUGAAGAUGUACAAUGUAUGGGUACUCAUUCUGACCAAAUGUAUUUGCAUAACUGAUAAGGCUUUGGUAUAUAACCACCAUUUUGUGAGGUUCUUCUUCUUUCACUCUGGUGAUUGAUGGAGACCCAGUACCGCGAUCAAUAAAGUUUUGAAUUUGAUGGAA